UAAGAGUCCUAAACAGACUGUCAUAUGAAUUAAAACAACAUCAGAUCCAGCAGACCGAAACAGGACAUGUAAUGUGGAACCAAAUGUGAUAAUAAUAUUUUAACUUUACCAUUUUGCCAGGGUAAUUGGGUC